GAAUGCAAUGUGGCAAUUGGCAAACGGGUAAUGUUGUGGGACAAUAAACACAUUUAGCUGUUGUCAAUUUAUAGCUGCUAAUAGCUGACUGGUGCUGGAAGAACAUCGUAUGGUUCGAAGGAGGGGGAAGAUUUGUAUUUGACUGAACGGCCUUGGCCCCGCGUUCGACAGCAUGGAGAAACAGUUGCAUUUGAAUGUGUUAGCUUCCAGACCUCCCGUUUCAGGAGGCUUGCAGUCGCGGUCUAAAAUGAGAAUGGGACCUGGACGGAAGAGAGACUUCUCCCCUCUCUCCUGGAGUGAAUACUUUGAAGCGAUGGAAGAUGUAGAAGUGGAAAACGAUAACGGCAAAGAUACGUUCAGAAUCUACUGCAGCGGCCAGCAUGGUCCUGUGCUGCUCCUGCUCCAUGGAGGAGGCCACUCUGCUCUCUCCUGGGCUGUGUUCACUGCGGUGAUAUACAACAGAAUUAACUGCCGGGUGGUGGCUAUGGACCUCCGGGCCCAUGGUGACACCAAAGUAAAGAAUUCUGACGAUCUCUCAGCGGAAACAAUGGCCAAAUGGGAGGAAACCGGACGGGACCUGAGGCAGUGGUGGAGGAUUACUGUAAGGGGGUGGAGAGAACCUGUUGGAGAGCGAGGAGAACUGAGUCAGAUGAGCUAUCGGCUGCUGCUGUCUCCCAUUGAGACACUGAUCUGCUGUUUGAUGCAAGGAGAGAACAGGCUUGCUGCAACCCCCAGAAUAGUCUUGUUUACAAGGACAAAGUGCCAGGACAUUGGCAAAGUGGUAGAAACACUCUAUGGAGAAAACCCACCUCCGAUCAUGAUGAUUGGACACAGCAUGGGUGGAGCUAUAGCAGUUCAUACCGCUGCAGCAAACCACGUGCCGUCUUUACUUGGCCUGUGUGUGAUUGAUGUUGUGGAAGGCACAGCAAUGGAUGCCUUAAACAGUAUGCAGAAUUUCCUCAGGAGUCGGCCAAAGACCUUUAAGUCUGUGGAGAAUGCCAUUGAGUGGAGUGUGAAGAGUGGACAGAUCCGAAACGUUGAGUCAGCCCGGGUGUCCAUGGGAGGCCAGGUGAAAAAAUGUGAGGAACCCCUCAACAGUCCAGGCGUCUCCAAGAGCAUCAUAGACGGCAUCAUUGAAGAGGAGGAGGAGGAGGAAGAGGAAGGAGAAUCCAACCACAAAAGAAAGAAGGAGGAUGACCAAGAGGUGAAGAAGGAUACCCUUUAUACCUGGCAGAUUGAUCUAUCAAAGACAGAGAAGUACUGGGAGGGCUGGUUCAGUGGCCUGUCUGCCCUAUUCCUUUCCUGUCCUGUGCCAAAACUGCUCCUGCUCGCUGGUGUGGACAGGCUUGACAAAGAUCUCACAAUUGGACAGAUGCAAGGGAAGUUCCAGAUGCAGGUGCUCCCUCAGUGUGGCCAUGCUGUCCAUGAGGACGCCCCUGAAAAAGUAGCAGAUGCUCUGGCCUCGUUCAUGGUCCGUCACAAGUUCACUGAAUUUAAGGAGGGUUUCCUGUGAGAACGACAGGGUGUUGUCCAGGGUCACACCAAGGUUCUUUGCACUCUCGGAGGGAGACACUGGAGUUGUCAACCGUGAUGGAUAGGUCUUUGAGCGGGCAGGCCUUCCCUGGGAGGAAGAUCAGCUCCGUCUUGUGGAGAAGAGGAGCGGGCUUAGAACCGAGCCCCGGGGUACACCAGUUGUGACUAACGGGACUCAAAUCAACUACAUAGACAAGUGCCAGUUUUGCCCUGGACCCAUCCAGCAGUCAUGGAGGAGAUGCCUGGAGCCUCAAGGACACCAUCUUCUGCCAAAUACCCCCAACUGUGAUAAAAUAAUGUUCAUGAGCACUAUAUAACACUAUACAAAAUUCUCAGCACUUAAAUUGGUAAAAAAAAUAUAAUUUAAAUGUAUUGUUAUUAUUACUAUUACUUAUACUUUGACACUUAUGGUUUUGCCUUUUUUUUUUUUUUUGAAAGCAGGUAUUUUGUUUCACCCAUCCCACUCAACAUUUUUUAUUUUCAUUCCCUGUGAUGCCUUUCCUGUUUCUUGUUACAUUUCGGCCAGCUGCAUCUUGUUGUGCUAUGUGUUUAAUGUUGUUGGAUUUUAAGAAUGAUUAAUAAAAAUGGAAAAGGAA